UGCAGUAUUUUAGACACACAGAAACACAUCCCCACAUCUACUAAGAAAACACUUUCCUGUGCCUCUGACACAGGACUUAAGGAAUAUCUCCUUUAAACAGCUAAAUGGAUCACAGAACUUAAAGGCAUGUUUCGUCUGGUCUCUAUAAAGGCAGCUGAUGCAAUUAAAACCUGAAUUCGAUUUUGAACUGUGUACUAUUUUCUCCAGCUUCUAACAGGAAAGAAUAUGUUCCAACAUCCCUGGGUUACCUCAUCUAGCAAGACUCAGUCAAUGUGAACUGAAAGUAUGCCUUACCAACUUCACAAGAGCUAGGCUGCGAGGGGCCCAAGAUUGUCACUUCACAGAGCAGCCAGGUACCAGUGGCUGCAGAAGGCAAAACUCUACAGUAGGAGUGGGGUAGAAAAAAAAUCAAAAGAGAAUCUCACUGUAGUCCAGAUAACAUAAAGCAUCAGUCCACUCUUAAAAACACCAGGUCAAAAGGCAUGAAAAGAAGAUGUGCAAUUAAAAAUGCAUAAUUCCAAAUCCAUAAACACUAAUCUCUGUGUGUUAAUAAGCCUAUAUGUAAAAUAUGAGAUAAGGGUCUAAUAAAUGAAAAAACCACUACAUUGAUAGUUCCUAUAAAACACGGGUCAAAAGACUGACUUUGCAUGUAAAUAUUUGAACUACAUACUGUAAGUAACAUUUCAGCCUCUGCAUGCAAUUAUUAAAUAUUAAGUAAAUAGCUAUGGAUCAUAUGUACAAAGGUGAAUGCAAAAUGCAGCAAUAUUUAAAUUAAGAUCAAAACAAAAACAGCCCUUUGGUGUUCUGGUUUUCUUCUUCAGAGUGUGGUGGAUAAUAAAUAUCCAAGAGCUUUCCAAGGCCUCCGAACAGAUUGGAUCCGUUUCUUUAUGUUUCCUUUUGUAAUCCUGUCACAGAAGCAACGUAUCAAAAGAUACAACCUGCAAUUUGGCGGCAAAGAGAAACACUGCACCUCCCUCCAGUCCUUGAAGAUCUCUUUUUUUUACCCCCCAAAAAAAAGCAGAAAGGCAGAUCUGAUGACUUGUACUGCAGUGUUCAAAUCAAGAAUUUUAUUACCCAAUUCACCCUCCUCUACACUGAGAGCUUGGACUAAUCCUGCAGGUCAGAUACAGCAAGUAAACCACAGCAUUUUCUCAAAAUAUUUUGAGAAAACAAAAGAAGAGAAAAACCAAAAACAAAACCAAACAACCAACUCAGACAGGCCAACUAAGGCACUGUUUGAAAAGAAAAAGCUUGUUUGUAUUUUUGUGUAGCUGAAGGUACUUGGUGGUUUUGGAUUUCUUGGUAAGUAAGAAAGUCAAAAGUCCUUGAAUGAACUAGUACAGUGUAAGUAACAUUCAGAACAUUCUUAGUUGCCCCUUUUUUUGCUCUACAAGUGAUUAUUUCAUGAAAUAAUGCCAAUAAUUUUUUAUAAACUGUAAUGCAGUCUAAGAAUAGGCCUCUAUAUAAAUUGAACACUAUAGUCACAUAUUUUGUGGGUAGAUUAAGGAUAAAACUGCUAGUUCCAUGCUGUGCCAGAUGAAAAGGAACUGUUUGAGUACUUUAGAGCAUGCAUAUUUAGUAGGCUAUCCAAAUUAUUUAUAAAACUUUAGGGGAAAAAAAUGACUAUUUAAAGAAAAUAGUACCAUUCAGUGAAUAAGGAACAAGAAGAAGAAAUUCAGGUUUCAUUCUCAGCUUUUCAGAGACUAAGAAAAUCACUUCUUCCUGUACAGCUUCCAUAUCUACAAAAUGAAGGCAAAAUUUACUAAUUUGCUAAAAUGCUAAAGAAACUGUACAUGGAACAUUUUGACUUAUGAACUGAAAGUUUUUGACAUAGGUAUUGUACAGAUAUGCUGAAAUUCUGCAAAAAUUCAAAAUCUUGACAGUAUGUUGAGCAGCAUGGUAUAUUUAUCACAUUCUAUAUGUGUUAGCAACACAUAUAUUGAGCUCCAUCUCAUCACAUUUAGGAAAACCCCACGGAAAUAAGGAGGGGAGCUGCAUAAGUAUGCAGAGCCACAGAAGAUUGCCCUGCAGUCAGACAGAUAGAGUUGACACAAAGCAAACCUAGUCUUUACUAUCUUCAGCCAUGCUUUAGACAGUCAGAGACACCCCAGUCAUUGGAGAAUGAAGCAGUGAGAUGAAAGAGCUAAGUACCGAAGAAAAAGGCUGUAAAGUCUACAAAACAAAAUGGGCAUUUACUUUAGCAUCAGAACAUAAAUAAGUAGUAAUGUUUUAAUAAAUGAUGUAGGUGUAGGGAGCCUCAGCAAGCAGCUCAGCAGCUCCAUGUAAUACCAGUACUGAGGUCUUCAGAGAGACUUGUCUACAUGUUCUUACAGCACUGUGAAAUGCAAUUCACAAUCCCUUUUGACAGCCUCAAUUUAGACAUACCCACCUUUACAGUAGGGACUGUACGCUACAAAUAACUGUCACA